rnacentral:rRNA from 1 species
GACGAACGCUGGCGGCGUGCUUAACACAUGCAAGUGGAGCGACGAACCGGGCUUCGGCCCGGGGCAAAGCCGCGAACGGGUGAGUAACACGUGGGUAACCUGCCCUGAAGACCGGGACAACCCGAGGAAACUCGGGCUAAUACCGGAUGUGUUCACUGUUCAUAAGAACAAUGAGAAAAGGAAGCUUCGGCCUCCGCUUCAGGAUGGGCCCGCGGCCCAUUAGCUUGUUGGUGAGGUAACGGCUCACCAAGGCUUCGAUGGGUAGCUGGUCUGAGAGGACGAUCAGCCACACUGGGACUGAGACACGGCCCAGACUCCUACGGGAGGCAGCAGUGGGGAAUCUUGCGCAAUGCGCGACAGCGUGACGCAGCAACGCCGCGUGGGGGAAGACGGCCUUCGGGUUGUAAACCCCUUUCAGGAGGGACGAAGCUUCGGCAGCGAAUAGCUGUCCGGAGUGACGGUACCUCCACAAAGCCCCGGCUAACUACGUGCCAGCAGCCGCCGUAAAAC